rnacentral:tRNA from 1 species
GCCUUCGUGGUGUAGUGGUCAGCCCGCUGGACUAGUAUUCCAGAGGUCCGUGGUUCGAGUCCCGGGGAAGACG